UACGUAGGGUGCGAGCGUUAUUCGGAAUUUAUCGGUGCGUAAAGAGCUCGUAGGCGGUGUGUCACGUCGUUCGUGAAAACCUGCAGCUUAACUGUGGGCGUGCGGUCGAUACGGGCAUCACUGGGAGUUCGGGAGAGGAGCGUGGAAUUCCCAGUGUAGAGGUGAAAUUCGUAGAUAUUGGGAAGAACACGGUGGCGAAGGCGGCGCUCUGGACCGAGACUGACGCUGAGGCGCGAAAGCGUGGGGGAGCAAACAGGA
rnacentral:rRNA from 1 species